rnacentral:rRNA from 1 species
AUUGAACGCUGGCGGCAGGCCUAACACAUGCAAGUCGAACGGUAACAGGAAGAAGCUUGCUUCUUUGCUGACGAGUGGCGGACGGGUGAGUAAUGUCUGGGAAACUGCCUGAUGGAGGGGGAUAACUACUGGAAACGGUAGCUAAUACCGCAUAACGUCGCAAGACCAAAGAGGGGGACCUUCGGGCCUCUUGCCAUCGGAUGUGCCCAGAUGGGAUUAGCUAGUAGGUGGGGUAACGGCUCACCUAGGCGACGAUCCCUAGCUGGUCUGAGAGGAUGACCAGCCACACUGGAACUGAGACACGGUCCAGACUCCUACGGGAGGCAGCAGUGGGGAAUAAUGCACAAAGGGCGCAAGCCUGAUGCAGCCAUGCCGCGUGUAUGAAGAAGGCCUUCGGGUUGUAAAGUACUUUCAGCGGGGAGGAAGGGAGUAAAGUUAAUACCUUUGCUCAUUGACGUUACCCGCAGAAGAAGCACCGGCUAACUCCGUG